UGGGGAAUUUUGGACAAUGGGCGCAAGCCUGAUCCAGCCAUGCCGCGUGUGGGAAGAAGGCCUUCGGGUUGUAAACCACUUUUGUCAGGGAAGAAACGGCCUGAUCUAAUACAUUGGGUUAAUGACGGUACCUGAAGAAUAAGCACCGGCUAACUACGUGCCAGCAGCCGCGGUAAUACGUAGGGUGCGAGCGUUAAUCGGAAUUACUGGGCGUAAAGCGUGCGCAGGCAGCUUUGCAAGACAGAUGUGAAAUCCCCGGGCUCAACCUGGGAACUGCAUUUGUGACUGCAAGGCUAGAGUACGGUAGAGGGGGAUGGAAUUCCGCGUGUAGCAGUGAAAUGCGUAGAUAUGCGGAGGAACACCGAUGGCGAAGGCAAUCCCCUGGACCUGUACUGACGCUCAUGCACGAAAGCGUGGGGAGCAAACAGGAUUAGAUACCCCCGUAGUCCCUGAGCGGGCUGGCAAGGCGCAU
rnacentral:rRNA from 1 species